rnacentral:rRNA from 1 species
GAUGAACGCUAGCGGCAGGCUUAAUACAUGCAAGUCGAGGGGUAGCAAGAUUGUAGCAAUACAAUUGUUGACGACCGGCAAACGGGUGCGGAACACGUACACAACCUUCCUACAAGUGGGGAAUAGCACAGAGAAAUUUGGAUUAAUACCCCGUAACAUAGCGAUGUGGCCUCACAUUGCUAUUAUAGCCCCGGCGACUAAAGUUGGCUGUGCGGCUGAUUAGGUAGUUGGCGGGGUAACGGCCCACCAAGCCUACGAUCAGGAACGGGUGUGAGAGCACGACCAGGGACACGGGCACUGAGACACGGGCCCGACUCCUACGGGAGGCAGCAGUAAGGAAUAUUGGUCAAUGGACGCAAGCCUGAACCAGCCAUGCCGCGUGGAGGAUGAAGGUCCUCUGGAUUGUAAACUUCUUUUCUCUGGGGCGAAAACCUCCCAUUCUUGGGAGCUUGACAGUACCAGAGGAAUAAGCACCGGCUAACUCCGUGCCAGCCGCCGCAGUAACAC